AUGGAGGGCGACGACCGGAGCGCCCCGCUGCUGGCCAACGGCGCCGGCCGGCCGUCGCUCCGGCGGCGCGACUCGGCGCGGUCGCUGCGCAGCAGCUUCCUGCGCCGGCUGCCGGACAAGAUGCGCACCGAGCUGGACCCCGAGCGCGGCGCCGACGUCGACGUCGCCCGCGUCAAGGACCUCUCCCAAGGUGAGAGGGAGUACUACAGGAAGCAGCUCGCCGCGCUGAAGACCUUCGAGGAGGUGGAGGCCCUGUGCAUGCCCGGCGAGUUCGGCUCGGACGACGACGGCGACCCCGACGCCGACGACGCCGACGACGAGGAGCAGAAGCAGAGCGAGCUCGCCAUGAAGAUUUCCAACUACGCCAACAUCGUCCUCCUGGCCUUCAAGGUGAUUGAUUGGCUCAAUUGCGCGACGGAGCACGCGAAAUCGAUCGCCCUGACCUCUGAUUCUGAUUCCUUCGGGCUGCAGGUGUAUGCCACGAUCAGGACGGGGUCCAUGGCGAUCGCGGCGUCCACGCUGGACUCGCUGCUGGACCUGAUGGCCGGCGGCAUCCUCUGGUUCACGCACCUCUCCAUGAAGAAGGUGAACAUCUACAAGUACCCCAUCGGCAAGCUGCGCGUCCAGCCGGUGGGGAUCAUCGUCUUCGCCGCCAUCAUGGCCACUCUAGGCUUCCAGGUCCUGGUGCAGGCGAUCGAGCAGCUGGUGGAGAACGAGCCCGGCGACAAGCUGACCUCGGAGCAGCUGAUAUGGCUCUACUCCAUCAUGCUCUCGGCCACCGCCGUCAAGCUCGCCCUCUGGUUCUACUGCAGGAGCUCCGGGAACAGCAUCGUCCGGGCGUACGCCAAGGACCACUACUUCGAUGUGAUCACCAACGUCGUCGGCCUGGUGGCCGCCGUCCUGGGAGACAGGUUCCUGUGGUGGAUCGACCCCGCCGGAGCCGUGCUCCUCGCGGUGUACACCAUUGCGAACUGGUCCGGGACCGUGCUUGAACAAGCAGUCUCGCUGGUGGGGCGGAGCGCUCCGCCGGAGAUGCUGCAGAUGCUGACCUACCUCGCCAUGAAGCACGACGCGCGCGUGCAGCGGGUCGACACGGUCCGGGCCUACAGCUUCGGCGCCCUCUACUUCGUCGAGUUCAUGGAGUACAUUCUUCUUCUCCGGGUCUGGCACCAGGUCGACAUCGUGCUCUCGGAGGACAUGCGGCUGCGGGAAGCGCACGCCAUCGGGGAGUCGCUGCAGGAGAGGAUCGAGAAGCUGCCGGAAGUGGAGCGGGCGUUCGUCCAUGCGGACUUCGAGACCACCCAUAAGCCGGAGCACACGGUCCGGAGCAGGCUGCCGGCGACCGAGCCCUGA
rnacentral:rRNA from 1 species